ensembl:lncRNA
GCAGAGAGAAAGAAAGAGAGAGGGAGAGAGAAAGAAAGAGAGAGGGAGAGGUAGAAAAGAGAAAGUAUGGAAAUUAAGGCAAGAAAGGAUAGCUGGAAACAGCUGAGAAGGGCAUGUGGAAGUGGACACCCACUGCUAUGAUUGAAACAAAUACAGAGGGUUGAAACAGUGUUUCAGGACAAUGGACAGUCCAGUCAGGUAGGUAUAGAGUGGUCAGGACAGUCAGGUAGGUACAGAGUGGUCAGGACAGUCAGGUAGGUAGAGAGUGGAUAGUCCAGUCAGGUAGGUAUAGAGUGGUCAGGACAGUCAGGUAGGUACAGAGUGGUCAGGACAGUCAGGUAGGUACAGAGUGGUCAGGACAGUCAGGUAGGUACAGAGUGGUCAGGACAGUCAGGUAGGUACAGAGUGGUCAGGACAGUCAGGUAGGCAUAGAGUGGUCAGGACAGUCAGGUAGGUACAGAGUGGACAGUCCAGUCAGGUAGGUAUAGAGUGGUCAGGACAGUCAGGUAGAUAUAUAUGAGAGGAGGUCUGUGGUUCUUACCCUGUGGACAGGCUCUGUGCUCUCCUCCUCACCCACCCUAAGAUUAGCCUCCAUCACCUCCACAUGACUGUCUCCUUGGUUCCCCAAGCUGAGGAUGAGGUUGACAGUACCCCCCAGGUCCACACUGCCUCCAAGGCUGAGGGUAGGGCUGUUCUUGACAGUGCCCCCUAGGUAGACC